AGGCAGUUUUGUCAAUCGUAUUGCAGCAUAUUCUUUCGAUACUCAAAAUGGAAACUAUCAAAUGGAAGGUUUUAUUAAAAGUAUUGAUCUUCCACCUUCAAACCUUCCCAACAAUUCUUUCAAUUCAAGUAAUGGUAAUGGAUACAUCUAUGCUGUUGGUAAUGGAAAUAACAAACUUCUUAUAAG
rnacentral:lncRNA from 1 species